CAGAUGACGGCAGAUAUGUUCCUAUAGUCGUAACAACAACAUAGUCUUCUUUUCCUUCAAUUUGACUGCACUGCAUUAGACUAAUAACCGAGUUUGUACCUACACGAGCAACAGAUGCUGCAUUGGGCACAGUAUGUGCCAAUCCUUGAGGUGCACCUGAUGACAUCCACGGUUUUUGAGUGAGUGUUAUAUACCUCUAUUUGGUAUUUCUGGUUACCGGAAAUGUAGGACAUAUUGAGCCUGUGUAUGCUAUUUAACGGGACUGUAUACCUUUUUAUGCUUGUCGGCGGG
rnacentral:lncRNA from 1 species